rnacentral:lncRNA from 1 species
AUAUAUAUAGUUUCUAAUGCCACUCCUAGUGGCUCUGCUUCUUGAAUUAAACCCUGACCCAUGCACUCCCUAAGUUGGGACCAUUUACUAGGGGAUCACCCAGUCUCUUAUUUACAAACUUAACUCUACACCAGGCUCUAAGGAUCUACCCUAACCAAAGGCCAGAAGCAAAUCAAUGGUUGUAGCUGGUACUCUGAGACUCUUCCUGAGGUCACUCUUGCUGCUGGGCCAGCCCUGAGCUCUGGUUCCUGGGUCACCUACCCACCCUUGUGUUUAAGGAAAUGGGGGCUAGUGAUUGGCAGUACAAGAGGAUCAUAUGAAGUGCAGGGGAAGCAGAUGCCGCAUGGACAAAGGUGAGAUGUUCACCACAUGCCUUCCAGCCUAGUUGGUCCCCGGUACCAUCAGCUCAAUCCAGUUCACUUUUCCUCAAUUAUUUCUAUCCCAUCACAGGAGGCCUAGCAAAUUCCCAAUGAUAGCCCUUCACAUUGCUGUUUUGUGGACCAUGUUUGCUACAUUCUCAAGGUAUGAAUUUACUCUGCCUCUUGGAAUAGUGUAGAACAAGUCGAUUUCUCUCCUAUACAACAUUCCUUUCAAGAGUUUAAAACAAGCCUUGGGGGAUCCCUGGGUGCCUCAGCGGUUUAGCACCUGCCUUUGGCCCAGGGCACGAUCCCGGAGUCCCAGGAUCGAGUCCCGCGUCGGGCUCCCGGCAUGGAGCCCGCUUCUCCCUCUGCCUGUGUCUCUGCCUCUCUCUCCUCCCUCUAUGACUAUCAUGAAUAAAUAAUAAAAUAAAAAAUAAAUAAAACAAGCCUUAGUCUCUACUUGACCUCUUCUCUCCCCUCUACCUUGGAGCUAUCUCUUUUUCAGGCAAAACAUACUUCCCAGUUCCCUCAGCUGUUCUAUGGUUCACUGGAGUCAUCUUUUUGAGAGCAGGAACUGUGUCUUCAGGUCCAGCACGAAAAGCAUCUGAAUUCAUAGCUCACAUAUCUCCUAACCCGCAGCCAAAUGUCUCUUUGAACUGGACUUUGGUUUCAACUGCCUGUGAAAGAACAUCAGUCUCUUGAUCUUCCACCAAACAUUCUUCUCGUCGCACGUUCAUGUUCAUUUGCCCUUAAAAGAGCCAAUCUUUCCAACUGGCCCUCACAUGGGUGUGUCUUGCAAAAAUUCUUAUUUAAUAAUGUUCUUGGUGAUGUGAAACUAAUACUUAUUUAAACCUUUGAGAUAAAUUUUGUGGUAUUUAGUUUCUUUGUGUUCAAAGACAAGGAAAAAUAAAAAUUAAUAAUUUUG